CCGUAAACCGAUAGCCGUGCUGGUUAAAGAGAAGGUUCGAGAACCAAACCAGUUCCAUUGCUUUGAAGUGGUGGCAGCGCUCAUCGCUCGCUCCGCUACCGUCUCCGUCAUCCCUUCUUGGAUGUCCUCCUGAGGAAGGUUCUCGAAGGACUCCGGAGAUUCGGCUGAGAUGAAGACGACAAUGGUUUAUUUAUUUCAGAUGAAGAAAAUUAUUCUCAAUUUCUCAUGUCGAGGUAAUUUCGAUGUCUUUCAUCAAGAAACCUGCAACUUCAGUUUUAUUAGUUGUUAGCCUUUUUUAUUUAUGAAUUCGAUCGGUCAAAUAAGCAUUUAAUAAUGGCUUUGUUGGAGCUGAGUUCUUUUAAUGGGCUUCAAAAGAACACCAGUGACAUUUUAGUUUGCAGAAUUCAUGUGCGGAAAAAAAAAUUUCAAUGCCUAAUAAUUCAAGAAACAAUUAUACUCAACGAAAUUUAAGUAGCUACAGAAAUCCAAUAAAGAACUCUAGUGUUCACUUAUCAACGUAUAAGUUGAAUUUCCUUUUUUUUUUUUUUUUGCAAUUAUGAGAUUUCAAAAACUCCAAUUGAUUAUCGGUUCUUAUAUAUUAAAACUGGUUCUAAUUUUUUUUUAUUUCAUGCUUGUUUAGUUAGUCUAUAGGACUAAUUUUGGUUUGGCUGAAAGGAUCUUUUCACGUCAUCAACAUUACCAUCUAGGAUGAAGUCUUCUUAGCCUUGCUUUCUUGGCACUCUUAGUUCUGCUCUCACGUAGCGAAGUGCAUACGACUGAUACAUCUUGGUUGACGUCAACGUGCACUGUUUUGGAAAUACACUUUGCUUAUUGAUCAUCUAUGAUUCUUCCAUUUGGACCCUGUAUCUUGCUCUUGUUCCAGUUAUUACUAUGCAGCACAUUGUAAUGCUUCAUAGCAUGCGCUACUUCCCUCCAGGGUAAAGAUAGUGGCGGAUAUUCAAUUAGUCACACGGUAGAAUCUCAUGGUCACAAAGUUUCACAUGCAUGACUGCAUAUUUAGUGAUAUAGAAGAACCGUUUCAUCGAUUUGUAGGGAGAGAGGACUGCAGUAUGAAUUUGGAUUGUUCCAGUAUGUUGUUGUUGUUGCUUCUAAUCAUUUGAAUUAGGUUCUUUUUACAUGAUUGCAAUUGUCUUCUUGCCUUGUGUAAUUCAGGAUGGUAUCGAUGCAUGUUGGGUACAUCUAUAUUAUUGUUGGGCGAAUUGCUAGAAUUAUUUUUUCUUUUAUUUUCCCUCUUUUAUUUUUCUCAAACUGUGCCAUCCUGACACGACACAACAAUAGAUCACUUCUUUCUAGUGGACCGAUCCAUAGAGUGGAUCAGUUUUGGAUUGAUCCAUAUGAUCACUUCUUUCUAACUAACAUGCAAAUCUUCCUAUUUGGUUGUUGUUGUUGUUGUUCCUAGACCAAUAAAAGUAUAAGUGGGUUUCUUUUA